AACCGCAUGGUUCAAACAUAAAAGGUGGGUUCGGCUACCACUUACAGAUGGACCCGUGGCGCAUUAGCUAGUUGGUGAGGUAAUGGCUCACCAAGGCAACGAUGCGUAGCCGACCUGAGAGGGUGAUCGGCCACACUGGGACUGAGACACGGCCCAGACUCCUACGGGAGGCAGCAGUAGGGAAUCUUCCGCAAUGGACGAAAGUCUGACGGAGCAACUCCGCGUGAGUGAUGAAGGUUUUCGGAUCGUAAAGCUCUGUUGUUAGGGAAGAACAAGUACCGUUCGAAUAGGGCGGUACCUU
rnacentral:rRNA from 1 species